AACGCUGAAGAUUGGUACUUGUACCGAUUGGAUGAGUUGCGAACGGGUGAGUAACGCGUAGGUAACCUGCCUGAUAGCGGGGGAUAACUAUUGGAAACGAUAGCUAAUACCGCAUAACAGAUGGUGUUGCAUGACAUUAUCUUAAAAGGGGCAAAUGCUCCACUAUCAGAUGGACCUGCGUUGUAUUAGCUAGUUGGUGGGGUAACGGCUCACCAAGGCGACGAUACAUAGCCGACCUGAGAGGGUGAUCGGCCACACUGGGACUGAGACACGGCCCAGACUCCUACGGGAGGCAGCAGUAGGGAAUCUUCGGCAAUGGGGGCAACCCUGACCGAGCAACGCCGCGUGAGUGAAGAAGGUUUUCGGAUCGUAAAGCUCUGUUGUAAGAGAAGAACGUGUGUGGGAGUGGAAAGUCCACACAAUGACGGUAUCUUACCAGAAAGGGACGGCUAACUACGUGCCAGCAGCCGCGGUAAUACGUAGGUCCCGAGCGUUAUCCGGAUUUAUUGGGCGUAAAGCGAGCGCAGGCGGUUAGAUAAGUCUGAAGUCAAAGGCUGUGGCUCAACCAUAGUUUGCUUUGGAAACUGUUUAACUUGAGUGCAAGAGGGGAGAGUGGAAUUCCAUGUGUAGCGGUGAAAUGCGUAGAUAUAUGGAGGAACACCUGUGGCGAAAGCGGCUCUCUGGCUUGUAACUGACGCUGAGGCUCGAAAGCGUGGGUAGCGAACAGGAUUAGAUACCCUGGUAGUCCACGCCGUAAACGAUGAGUGCUAGGUGUUAGGCCCUUUCCGGGGCUUAGUGCCGCAGCUAACGCAUUAAGCACUCCGCCUGGGGAGUACGACCGCAAGGUUGAAACUCAAAGGAAUUGACGGGGGCCCGCACAAGCGGUGGAGCAUGUGGUUUAAUUCGAAGCAACGCGAAGAACCUUA
rnacentral:rRNA from 1 species